UUCCACCGGUCACAUCUCUCAAGGAGUCCUCUAAACAUUUCUCACCAGAGAUGCUACCUACUAAUAUUCCCUUGAGCAGUGUUCUAUACUGCCCUUUGAGCAGUCCUGUACACAAGUACAUGUACCUGAAGUGGCUAAUCCCUCAACUCAUGUUUCACUUGAUGUUUGCAAUGUCCAACCUAUGGUCACAAGGAGCAAAGUUGGUACAUUUGAGCCUGAAAUUCGAGCUUAUGCUUGAUCCAAAGUGUAGAAAGGCUGUGCAUGAAAAUCAAACCUGGUCUCCUAAUAGGAAGUUAGUAGGAUGAAAUGGAUUUCCGAAGUGAAGGAUCUGGCGGAUCAAUGGCUUUCAAUAGACCUUCAGCCUAGUGGUCAAAGCUAGCACUAUUCGAACUGUUCUUGCUCUAGCAGUUCAUCACAAAUGCUUU
rnacentral:lncRNA from 1 species